CUUCUACGACUGGGGCACCGGCGUCGGAUAAAGCACCUCACCAACCUAUAUACCUAUCAUAAAAGAAUGAAAACUACUCCCGGAACUCCUACAGCGCAAAGAAUACAACCAACUUCAUUUGAUGGCGGUGUGCAGGCCGGUUAGAUGCCAGAAGAGUGUGGCCUCCGGAUUGUGUAGCCAGCUCCGGACAAAUAGCUGAUGAUGGAAUACUCACAACCUGAAAAGAACACAGUUUCAAUUAAUAUACUCAUUGAAUCAA